UGUAGCCCAGCACAUCUGCUCAGAGCACGGAGUGCGAACGAACGUUUGGUUGUCGGGCAGAGCAGGGAGACUGCUCGCAUGCUUUGAUCUCAGAGUGACUGAUGAAAGUUCUGGAGGGAGCAGCCUGAAGCAUGCACAGGGCGGUUUGGAAGUGUGGAGAAAGGUCUGCUCCCAUCAACUUCCAGCCUUCCGUCUUCUUGAAACCAAGAGCCACACCUUUGAUUAAACUGCUGAGUCCUGUGAGAGAGACAGCUAAUGAUACAAGCAAACACACCGUGACCACAGAGACCAUGUGGGAGGACCUGAAAUGCGGUGAGGAAGAGGAGAUGAAGGAGACGAGGGUGAAAGAAAUGAUGACCCAGUUUCCAUACCAAGUAUUAAUAUGGCAGCGAUAUUGAGAAGAGACGGUUCAGGAAAGCACCCACCACACAGAUGGCCUGCCCUUCUCAGGAUGGCGAGAGUAAAGGAAAGGGAGCCAAGGACAAUCCCUACAGGAACAGGAAUCCCUGGAAGCCGAGCAAGGGCCCUGUUGGCUUUAUUCUGUCUGCAAACUACUUAGACACCAAAAGUUGACUUGAUGAAUCGCACAAGACUGUGAGCCAAUAACGUGCUGGUAGGAACUCUUGAGGACUCUGACAAAAGCCCAGUGUCAAGGCGGCCUGAUGGGACAGCCAAAGAGGCCUGGACCACAGGCUGAAAGGCUGUUCCCAACACUGUGGUGUCAUAAGGACUGCUAAAUGAAACUCCCCAACUGAAGACAGACUGAAGGUCACAAACAAGAAGGGCAGAGUACCAUACAGGAAAUCAAACCGAAGUGCCAGCUGCAGACACUCAACAGACUAGAAG